rnacentral:rRNA from 1 species
AGUGAACGCUGGCGGCGUGCUUAACACAUGCAAGUCGAACGAGAACAUGUAGUAGUAAUACUAUGAUGCUAAGUGGCGCACGGGUGAGUAAUGUAUAGGUAAUAUGCCUCUUACUAAGGGAUAAUUGAUGGAAACGUCUUGUAAUACCUUAUAUGCCUUUUGAACAUAAGUUCGUAAAGGGAAAGAUUUAUCGGUAAGAGAUUAGCCUGUAUGGUAUCAGUUUGUUGGUGGGGUAAUGGCCUACCAAGACUAUGACACCUAACUGGUUUGAGAGGAUGAUCAGUCACACUGGAACUGAGACACGGUCCAGACUCCUACGGGAGGCAGCAGUGGGGAAUAUUGGACAAUGGGCGCAAGCCUGAUCCAGCCACGCCGCGUGGGUGAUGAGGGCCUCGGUUGUAAAG